rnacentral:tRNA from 1 species
UCCUUAAUAGCUUAUAAUAAAGCAAUGAGCUUUUAACUCGUAUAAGGGAUUUAUUCUCUUAAGGAA